rnacentral:rRNA from 1 species
AUGGAACAAUGUAGGCAAGGGAAUUCGGCAAAACGGAUCCGUAGCUUCGGGAAAAGGACUGGCUCUAAGGACUUGGCUCGGGGGUCCCGGCCCCGAACCCGUCGGCUGUCGGCGGAUUGCUCGAGCUGCUCACGCGGCGAGAGCGGGUCGCCGCGUGCCGGCCGGGGGACGGACCGAGAAUCGCCCCUUCGGGGCCUUUCCCCGAGCAUGAAACAGUCGACUCAGAACUGGUACGGACAAGGGGAAUCCGACUGUUUAAUAAAAACAAAGCAUUGCGAUGGUCCUCGCGGAUGCUGA